rnacentral:rRNA from 1 species
UGGGGAAUAUUGGACAAUGGGCGCAAGCCUGAUCCAGCCAUACCGCGUGGGUGAAGAAGGCCUUCGGGUUGUAAAGUCCUUUUGGUGGGAAAGAAAUCCUAUCGGUUAAUAACCGGUGGGGAUGACGGUACCCACAGAAUAAGCACCGGCUAACUUCGUGCCAGCAGCCGCGGUAAUACGAAGGGUGCAAGCGUUACUCGGAAUUACUGGGCGUAAAGCGCGCGUAGGUGGUGGUUUAAGUCUGAUGUGAAAGCCCUGGGCUCAACCUGGGAAUUGCAGUGGAUACUGGAUCACUAGAGUGUGGUAGGGGGAUGCGGAAUUUCUGGUGUAGCAGUGAAAUGCAUAGAGAUGAGAAGGAACAGCCGUGGCGAAGGCGGCAUCCUGGGCCGACACUGACACUGGUGCGCGAGAGCGUGGAGAGCAAACA